UACAGAGGGGGCAAGCGUUGUUCGGAAUUACUGGGCGUAAAGCGCACGUAGGCGGAUUGUUAAGUCGGGGGUGAAAUCCUGGAGCUCAACUCCAGAACUGCCUUCGAUACUGGCGAUCUCGAGUCCGGGAGAGGUGAGUGGAACUGCGAGUGUAGAGGUGAAAUUCGUAGAUAUUCGCAAGAACACCAGUGGCGAAGGCGGCUCACUGGCCCGGUACUGACGCUGAGGUGCGAAAGCGUGGGGAGCAAACAGG
rnacentral:rRNA from 1 species